GUCACAUCAGAACACACACUGGAGAGAAGCCCUACAAAUGUAAAGAUUGUUGCAAAGCUUUUUGUCAAAAAUCACACCUUAUUUGCCACAGCAGAACUCACACUGGAGAGAAGCCCUACAAAUGUACAGAAUGUGACAAAACUUUUUGUCAAAAAUCAGACCUUAUUCGACACAUCAGAAAUCACACUGGAGAGAAGCCCUACAAAUGUACAGAAUG
rnacentral:lncRNA from 1 species